AAGUCUUGACAUCCCGAUGCCCGGCUCGUAAUGGAGCCUUUUCUUCGGAACAUCGGAGACAGGUGGUGCAUGGUU
rnacentral:rRNA from 1 species